AAAUAUCUGUUGGAUACAGUUGUCAACACUGCUGUGAUGUCGGAACGGUACCUGGUGGAAAUUUCCAGAUGCUAGACACCGGAAUCGUUCACACAGCUACAGUUAGACUCACAUCAGUAGUUUGGGUCACCAAUUACCGAUAAAGUAUUGAAAUACACCGGACAACGGG